GAUGAACGCUGGCGGCGUGCCUAAUACAUGCAAGUCGAGCGAACAGAUAAGGAGCUUGCUCCUUUGAAGUUAGCGGCGGACGGGUGAGUAACACGUGGGUAACCUACCUAUAAGACUGGGAUAACUUCGGGAAACCGGAGCUAAUACCGGAUAACAUUUAGAACCGCAUGGUUCUAAAGUGAAAGAUGGUUUUGCUAUCACUUAUAGAUGGACCCGCGCCGUAUUAGCUAGUUGGUAAGGUAACGGCUUACCAAGGCGACGAUACGUAGCAGACCUGAGAGGGUGAUCGGCCAAACUGGAACUGAGACACGGUCCAGACUCCUACGGGAGGCAGCAGUAGGGAAUCUUCCGCAAUGGGCGAAAGCCUGACGGAGCAACGCCGCGUGAGUGAUGAAGGGUUUCGGCUCGUAAAACUCUGUUAUUAGGGAAGAACAAAUGUGUAAGUAACUGUGCACAUCUUGACGGUACCUAAUCAGAAAGCCACGGCUAACUACGUGCCAGCAGCCGCCGUAA
rnacentral:rRNA from 1 species